rnacentral:snRNA from 1 species
GGAUGUGAGGGUGAUCUGGUUGAGACAUGUCUAUCAUCCCAUUGAUCACCAGGGUUGAUUUGGCUGAUCGGGCUAACUAAGCAUGUGUCCUUCCUCCCUCACAGCUCCAUGUGGGUUCCUCCUAAAGCUACAUGCUACACGCAAUAGGGCAACCAUUCCCAGAUAGAGGAUCAGUCUUAGGUCAAGGGUAUAAUAGUACUGUUCUCCUCUGUUAUAACCUCCAAGAAAGCCCUCGCAUAUACAUCUUAGCUUUUAAUGUAUCUCCAUAAGUCCAUAAGAGGGGUGAGAUGAGAAUAGGCUAUGAAACUCAACAGGAAACAGUGAUAGGGGGAAGGGAAGGGAAGUGU